UAGUAGUCAUACGCUCGUCUCAAAGAUUAAGCCAUGCAUGUGUAAGUAUAAAUAGUUAACUUUGAAACUGCGAAUGGCUCAUUAUAUCAGUUAUAGUUUAUUUGAUGAAGAAUACUAAUUGGAUAACCGUAGUAAUUCUAGAGCUAAUACAUGUAUAAAGUCUUGUAGACUGCAUUUAUUAGAAUGAAAACCAUAGGUUUCGGCCUAUUCGUGAGUAAUAAUAACUAAUCAUAUCGUAUGCUUAUGUAACGAUGUGUCUUUCAAGUUUCUGCCCUAUCAAGCUUUCGUAUGGUAGUGGAUUGGACUACCA
rnacentral:rRNA from 1 species